rnacentral:rRNA from 1 species
GACAGAGGGGGCAAGCGUUGCUCGGAAUCACUGGGCGUAAAGGGCGCGUAGGCGGGAUGGCAAGUCGGUCGUGAAAUCCUUCGGCUCAACCGAAGAACGUCGGCCGAUACUGCCGUUCUUGAGGGAUGCAGAGGAGAUUGGAAUUCCCGGUGUAGCGGUGAAAUGUGUAGAGAUCGGGAGGAACACCGGUGGCGAAGGCGAGUCUCUGGGCACCUCCUGACGCUGAGGCGCGAAAGCGUGGGGAGCAAACGGG